ACGUAGGUGGCAAGCGUUGUCCGGAUUUAUUGGGUUUAAAGGGUGCGUAGGCGGCCUAUUAAGUCAGUGCUGAAAUACUUCGGCUUAACCGGAGAGGUGGCAUUGAUACUGAUGGACUUGAGUACAGAUGAGGUAGGCGGAAUUGACGGCGUAGCGGUGAAAUGCUUAGAUAUCGUCAAGAACACCUAUAGCGAAGGCAGCUUACUAGGCUGUAACUGACGCUGAGGCACGAAAGUGUGGGGAUCAAACAGGA
rnacentral:rRNA from 1 species